GUUGGCUGCUGUGAGGAUGAGGAAGAGUCAAUGCCUGGAGGAGCUGCCUAGGAGAAACAUCAAGGAGGUUUGGGAUUUGGAGUUCUUUGUGGUUUUGCUCUUUGCCAAAAAAUGAUUGUGAAUCCUGUUGUGCUGGUGACAUGAAGAGCGCUGGUCAAAAAUGAUUCAGCCAGUCAAGUGCUACCAAUCAAAUACUUGGACAUGAUCUCUUAGACAUUGCAACAAGCAAGGUGUCACAAAACACCUUUAUCAUGAUGUCAGUGUGCCAUUCCAGUGUUACUGCCAUUAUUGUCUCUUCUGGAGAAGAGAAGAGGAGCUGCUUUGG